GACGUAGGGCGCGAGCGUUGUCCGGAUUUAUUGGGCGUAAAGAGCUCGUAGGCGGUUUGACAAGUCUGAUGUGAAAUCUCUGGGCUCAACCCAGAGUCUGCAUUAGAAACUGUCGGGCUUGAGUAUGGGAGAGGUGAGUGGAAUUUCCGGUGUAGCGGUGAAAUGCGUAGAUAUCGGAAGGAACACCUGUGGCGAAGGCGGGUCUCUGGACAGUUCCUGACGCUGAGGCACGAAGGUCAGGGGAGCAAACGGG
rnacentral:rRNA from 1 species